AGUGAAAUCGAGUAGGACGGGACACGUGAUAUCCUGUCUGAACAUGGGGGGACCAUCCUCCAAGGCUAAAUACUCCUGACUGACCGAUAGUGAACCAGUACCGUGAGGGAAAGGCGAAAAGAACCCCUGUGAGGGGAGUGAAAUAGAACCUGAAACCGUGUACGUACAAGCAGUAGGAGCCCUCCGGGGUGACUGCGUACCUUUUGUAUAAUGGGUCAGCGACUUAAUUUUAGUAGCAAGGUUAACCGUUUAGGGGAGCCGUAGGGAAACCGAGUCUUAACUGGGCGUUCAGUUGCUAGGAUUAGACCCGAAACCAGGUGAUCUAGCCAUGGGCAGGUUGAAGGUGAGGUAACACUUACUGGAGGACCGAACCGACUAAUGUUGAAAAAUUAGCGGAUGACUUGUGGCUAGGGGUGAAAGGCCAAUCAAACCUGGAGAUAGCUGGUUCUCCCCGAAAGCUAUUUAGGUAGCGCCUCGGACGAAUACUACUGGGGGUAGAGCACUGUUAAGGCUAGGGGGUCAUCCCGACUUACCAACCCUUUGCAAACUCCGAAUACCAGUAAGUACUAUCCGGGAGACACACGGCGGGUGCUAACGUCCGUCGUGGAGAGGGAAACAACCCAGACCGCCAGCUAAGGUCCCAAAGUUAUAGCUAAGUGGGAAACGAUGUGGGAAGGCUCAGACAGCCAGGAUGUUGGCUUAGAAGCAGCCAUCAUUUAAAGAAAGCGUAAUAGCUCACUGGUCGAGUCGGCCUGCGCGGAAGAUUUAACGGGGCUAAGCUAUACACCGAAGCUGCGGCAAUGCC
rnacentral:rRNA from 1 species